UGGGCCAUUAUUUUAUUUUAGGGACAAUUAUCGGUCCCCUACAAAGAAACAUUUUAAAAAAAUUAAAUAAUGAAAUUCAGGAAUAUAGCUACCGUCUGUAGCAAUUAAAUAAGACACCGGUCACAGAAAAUAUAAUGAAUUUAUGUAAAAUACUUUAUUUAUUUACAAAUUACGGUAACUCUGUUGUUGUUUUUGGUAACGCAAUUGUUUUUCAUACAAAAAUUGUCUGUCCCUCGAAGCGAGUCAUAUGAAACAAACACAACGUGUGUAAAAAAUUAUAAUGGAAACAAUUUUUUUGAAUAUUAUAACGAAUAUGUCAUUAUUUAAACUUUACUUCACGGUAAUAUUCAUGAUUUUAUAUGAACAUAUUAUGGGACAAUUAAUAUUCCUGGCCGAGUCCCCAAGCCUAAGAAAAAAUCCACCUACACUAGGUUACCCUAGGAAAUUCAAUCAUAAAUAAACUUUUUUUCACUUUCUUACACCUAAGAUCAUUUGAAUGGCUGUGUAUUUGUAUCGGAGUGCAGGAAGGAGAGCGGGACGGAUAAAAUGACCAAGUCUUUCGGAUGAGAGUCCUGGAGAGAAGCGCGUGUAUUUAUUGUGACGCCACUGAGUUACCGGCGACAUACGUAUAACAUUUCAGACUCAAUGGCGUAAACAGCGGCUGAAAAACAACGGCUUUAUAGGCAAAAAAAAUGAGAAAUAUUUCUUAGUAUUAAGUUGUUAUAUUUUCAGCGAUUUUAAUGUUUGAUAUUAAACAAAGAGUUCUGUUAAUUUUAGUUUGAUAGUUUUUUUCACAUUAUGAUUAGUUUUAAUUGAAGAAAGUAUAAAGAUUGUGAUUGAGAAACCACUGUGUUACCAAUUAACCACUGCGUUAUCUAUUUGUCCCUCGUUUCCUGAGAGUAUUCACAAACAUUUUAGCUACUCUAUAUUAGAAAGAAUGUUAAACUAAAUAUAAUAAUUAUAAUUCACCUUAUUUAGAGCUAUUUCUAAAACUUUGAGCAAAAAAUUAUGAUUAUUUUGUCCUUUUUUCGAAAAGUAUUGCAUCAAAACUUAUUGAUUGGUAACGCAGUGGGAAACUUUAUUAUAGAAUGAAUAACAAAACUGAGAAUAUUUCGUAAUUUAAACUGUUAGAUUAAUGUUUUUUUUCUUACUUUUUAUCUGGUAUAUGUUUACGAACCAAAAUAUAUGUUCCUAACAAUAAAACAUAAUUUUGUAUGAAAGUAA